rnacentral:rRNA from 1 species
UACGUAGGAGGCAAGCGUUGUCCGGAGUUACUGGGCGUAAAGCGCACGCAGGCGGUCUUGUCAGUCUGUAGGGACAGGGCACAGCUCAACUGUGUCAGGCUUACGGAAACUGCAAGACUUGAGGGCUUCAGAGGGAUGGGGGAAUUCCGGGUGGAGUGGUGAAAUGCGUAGAGAUCCGGAAGAACACCAAAGGCGAAGGCACCAUCCUGGGGAGUCACUGACGCUCGGGUGCGAAAGCUAGGGGAGCGAACGGGG